GACGAACCGAGCGAACGUUGUUCGGAAUCACUGGCUUAAAGGGCGCGUAGGCGGGUGCUCAAGUCCGGGGUGAAAUCCUCCAGCUCAACUGGAGAACUGCCUCGGAUACUGGGUGCCUCGAGGAGGGUAGGGGCAUCUGGAACGAGCGGUGGAGCGGUGAAAUGCGUUGAUAUCGCUCCGGAACUCCGGUGGCGAAGGCGAGAUGCUGGACCUUCUGACGCUGAGCGGCGAAAGCCAGGGGAG
rnacentral:rRNA from 1 species